rnacentral:rRNA from 1 species
UCGGGAAUAUUGCGCAAUGGAGGAAACUCUGACGCAGUGACGCCGCGUGCAGGAAGAAGGUUUUCGGAUUGUAAACUGCUUUAGACAGGGAAGAACAAGGACAGUACCUGUAGAAUAAGCUCCGGCUAACUACGUGCCAGCAGCCGCGGUAAUACGUAGGGAGCAAGCGUUAUCCGGAUUUAUUGGGUGUAAAGGGUGCGUAGACGGGACGACAAGUUGGUUGUGAAAUCCCUCGGCUUAACUGAGGAACUGCAACCAAAACUAUCAUUCUUGAGUGCUGGAGAGGAAAGUGGAAUUCCUAGU